AUUGAACGCUGGCGGCAGGCCUAACACAUGCAAGUCGAGCGGAUGAAGGGAGCUUGCUCCUGGAUUCAGCGGCGGACGGGUGAGUAAUGCCUAGGAAUCUGCCUGGUAGUGGGGGAUAACGUCCGGAAACGGGCGCUAAUACCGCAUACGUCCUGAGGGAGAAAGUGGGGGAUCUUCGGACCUCACGCUAUCAGAUGAGCCUAGGUCGGACUAGCUAGUUGGUGGGGUAAAGGCUUACCAAGGCGACGAUCCGUAACUGGUCUGAGAGGAUGAUCAGUCACACUAGAACUGAGACACAGUCCAGACUCCUACGGGAGGCAGCAGUGGGGAAUAUAGGACAAUGGGCGAAAACCUGAUCCAGCCAUGCCGCGUGUGUGAAGAAGGUCUUCGGCUUGUAAAGCACUUUAAGUUGGGAGGAAGGGCAGUAAGUUAAUACCUUGCUGUUUUGGCGUAACCAACAGAAAAAGCACGGGCUAACUGCG
rnacentral:rRNA from 1 species